UUCUUUCCUUCAAAAACAUCAUUAGGGCAGCCCAAAGUUUUCAAAUCCUAUAGAUUCUUACUGUGUGUAUAAUUAUAAUGGAAUAGCUAAAAUAAUGUCAUAUAAAAAAAUCAUCUACUUCUUCUACAGAAAAUACUUCUCUCUAUUUAGUAAGUUGAUCCAUUACAUGCUCUGUUCUGUCUUCAUUUUGUCUUUACUUUUGUUCCGAUUCUAUAUGCAGAGGUACAACCGUAGAAGGAUGAUUCUACUAAGCUUUGACCAUCCAUCCGGCGAUAGAACAUAUUGCUAGCUCCAAUACUGGAAUUAUAUGUUGCUCUUGCACAUGGCAAAUUUAUUACUUUCAAAUUUUAGAAAGGGAAUAGAGGCAAAUUAUGUCUGUCCUGCAACAGAUGAUAUAUGGAAGUUGUAAUUGACCUUAGGGAUCUAUUUAUCCGCCAUAAUUCAGGAAUGAAGCGAUUUUGAACUUGAAGCUUAUCUUGAACCUAUUUCCUUUUUCUAUUAUUACAAAGUAGUAACAAAGCUAAGAUUAAAUUCAGAUGAAAAGGAUCAUCAGCUGCUUCGACAAGAUAUCUUUCUCUCCAUCUGGGCUGGAAGGAUGUUAAAUUGAAUUAACCUAUGGAUGUAGGGCUGUAGAAACAAUUUUGCAUUUUCAGAAGCAAUGAGAAUGUGCAUUCUGUCUUUAAAUUCUGUUAACUGCUCUUCCACUUACAUUGCCACAUCUCUACACCUUUGAGAAGGUAGCAACUACAGAGUGCAUUGUUUCUCAAUUGAUGAUGAUGGAGCACAACUAACUACAUUGUCAUGUUCCCCUGGUAACUUAGGACCAUGAAAUGUAUUAUCACCUCCAACACUUUUGUAGUUGCAUCAUUCAAUUGUAUUAUUUUCUUAGGGCAGUUAGCUUUGAAUUAUAUUUUAAUCUAUCCUGACUGAUUUUCUGAAUUUAAUGCAAUAUAUCCAUGUGCUAAUCCUGUAAUCCUUGUAGGCAAUGCAACAUGGAGCAAGGUGUGAGAUCAAAGCGACAGAUCCUGGAACGUGGAGAAGUUCCUCUGGGUGAAUGAGGCUAAAAUUCUUAAAUAUUUUGAAGUUACGGAAAUUUAUGUGUUGCUACAAAUUAUGAAAAGGAGUGCAUCUAAUAAUCUCUAUUAGCAUCCACUUUUGUGCAGGCACAGAGCAAGUGUGCAGUUUACGUGAAAUUGGGUUCCUUCCAUUGACCAUCUAAGCAUUAGGUUAUAAAGGGAGCUUAACAGAGUGAAUCUUGCACAUAUUCACUCUCUGCAAUCACUUUCCAGUUCCGAAGUUUGAGUUGGGAUGGUGUGACAGCUUUACACUGGAAAAUGAGUGGUUUUUAAGUCUUCAACUGCUGAUACUUACAAAUGCAUUAUGCCUCCGAAAGAAGCUGCUUUGCCAUUGGUUGUGCUGGAAAGAAGAAUUCUUAACUGUUUCUACAGGUGCUGCAAUUUGGUGAAACUCCCACAUCUUUGCUCAAAAGAGAAACAAUAAAAUGCAACUCCAUCUCCAAGUCAUUGAACAAGAAAUACACACAGCUACUAUGGGAAUUGUCACUUGUCAAAGCUAGUUCUGGUUAUGUCUUAAUGAGCUCUGAAGAUUCAUUUUGUUUUGUUUGUUUACUUAUACAGCUAGAUUAAUAGAUUUUGUGAUAUUUUUAAAGUGUAAAUCUAUUUAAUUUUAUUAGCAGUCUGGAACUAAGUUAGAGGAAUUUCUAUGUUUAUGUCAAUUUCACCAAUUAAAUACACGGAAGUGUAGUUUAAAUGUAACAGGUUUUUUUUAGCAAAAAGUUGUUUUUUUUUUAAUUUGACACACUGGGAUUUAUUUUUUUAGUUCUUUUCCAGUUGUUUGUAAUAAUAAAGCUAAGGUAAAAUUGAGAUGAAAAGGAUCAUUGGCUACUUCUACAAGAUAUAUUUCUCCCCAUCUGCUGUGAAAAUCAACCGCCUGCUUUGAUCUGUCUUCACUUUUUAUCUUUCAAGGGUCAACAAGUCUGUCUCUGUACUAUAUGCAAGGUUGGAAGAAAGUUUAAACAGCUCUUGGAUCAGACAUUUGGAAUCAAUUUUUCAUUUUCAGAAACAAUCAGAAUUUCCAGUAGAUGUGAGAUACUUCGUCUUUAAUUUCUGGCAAUUGCUCUUCAACUUAUAUUCCCAAAAUCGUUCAGAGUGGAAAAAGCGAAUCCAUAUAGCCGACCCCAAAUUUUUGGGAUAAAGGCUUAGUUGAGUUGAGUUGCUCUUCAACUUAUAUUGCUGCAUCCCAGCUCCUUCGUGAAGCUCAAGACUGCAGAGUGUGCAUUGGUUCUCAAUUGAUGAUGAAGUGCACAAAGGAUGCUUCUGCUAACUUUUCACUGUCUAUUGGAUAAUGAAGCAUAUUGAUAGGUUCAACACUGGAAUUACCCAUUGCCUUCAAUUGACAAGGAAGGAGCAAUUUUGAAGUUGAAGCUUCCUAAUAAGGAUUAUAAAUCUUCGCUAUAGUUCCUUUUUCAAGUAUUACAAAGGGAACUUCAAUACGUUACCACCUUGCAGCGUCUGGAAAUCUGGUAUUGUUCUAAUUUGACAGCUUUGCUUGACUGGAUGGGCAACCUCACAUCACUUAGAUAUCUAGAGAUCUCAUACUGCCCCAAAUUGGAAUCGCUACCAAAAGGAAUGCGUCAAAUCAGCACUUUACUGGAGUUGAGGAUUGAUGGUUGCCCCCAUGUGAACACGAUAUGGCUGCAGAUUGGCCCAACAUUUCUCACAUCCCAAAUAUUAAUAUAGAUUGGCAUGAGUAUUCAACAGCAUGGCCUCUAUUUAUUGGAAGAAGAAGGAGGCUCCUCUGCUUCCACGGAGGUACAACUGUAGAAGGAUGAUUCUACUAAGCUUUGACUAUCCAUGGGAUGAUAGAACAUAUUGCUAGCUCCAACACCAGAAUUAUAUGUUGCUCUUGCACACAGCAAACCUUUUUCUACUUUCGAAUUUGAGAAAGGGAAUAGAAGCAAAUGACAUUUGUCCUGCGACAGAUGAUACCUGGAAGUUGUAAAUUACUUUAGGAUCUACUCAUGCAAUAGAAUUCAGUAACAAAGUUAAGGUUUAAUUCACAUGAAAAGGAUCAUCAGCUGCUUCUACAAGAUAUCUUUCUCCAUCUGAGCUGGAAGGAUGUUGAUAACUUGAAUUAACUCUUGGAACAAACAUUUAGAAUCAAUUUGCAUUUUCAGAAGCAAUAAGUAUCUGCAUUCUGUCUAAAUUCUGUCGAUUGCUCUUCACCUUACAUUGCCACAUCUCUAUCCCUUUGAGAAGCUAGCAACUGCAGAGUGCAUUGGUUCUCAAUUGAUGAUGAUGGAGCACAACUCACCAUGAUGUCAUGUUCGCCUAGCCAUCAUGCUGCAAUCCAGCCACUUAGAAGUUAGGACCAUGGAAUGGAAUACAACCUGGAGCAAGGCCGGAGAUCAAAGCAACAGAUCCUAGAACCUGGAGAACUUCCUCUGGGAAAAUGAAGCUAAAAUUCUUAGAUUUUUGUAAGGCACAGAGCAAGUGUGAGUUUACCUGAAAUGUGUACAGCAAAGGUUCAUUCUCUUGGUGCUGCAAUUUGGUGAAACUCCCACAUCUUUGCUCAAAAGAGAAACAGUGAAUUGCAACUCUUGAGCCAUUGAACAAGAAAUACACACAGCUACUAUGAUAGAAGAUUUGUCACUUGUCAAAGUUAUUUCUUGUUAUGCCUUAAUUAGCCUAAAGAUUCAUUUUGUUUUGUUUGUUUACUUAUACAAAUAGGUUAAUAGAUAUUGUGAUAUUUUUAAAAUGUAAAUCUAUUUUAUUUUAUUAACAGUCUGGUACUAAGGGGAAUUUCUAUGUUUAUGUCAAUUUCACCAGUUAAACACAUGGAAUUGUAUUUUAAGUCUAAGAGGCUUUUUUUU